rnacentral:rRNA from 1 species
GAUGAACGCUGGCGGCGUGCCUAAUACAUGCAAGUCGAGCGAACAGACGAGGAGCUUGCUCCUCUGACGUUAGCGGCGGACGGGUGAGUAACACGUGGAUAACCUACCUAUAAGACUGGGAUAACUUCGGGAAACCGGAGCUAAUACCGGAUAAUAUAUUGAACCGCAUGGUUCAAUAGUGAAAGACGGUUUUGCUGUCACUUCUAGAUGGAUCCGCGCCGCAUUAGCUAGUUGGUAAGGUAACGGCUUACCAAGGCAACGAUGCGUAGCCGACCUGAGAGGGUGAUCGGCCACACUGGAACUGAGACACGGUCCAGACUCCUACGGGAGGCAGCAGUAGGGAAUCUUCCGCAAUGGGCGAAAGCCUGACGGAGCAACGCCGCGUGAGUGAUGAAGGUCUUCGGAUCGUAAAACUCUGUUAUUAGGGAAGAACGAAUGUGUAAGUAACUAUGCACGUCUUGACGGUACCUAAUCAGAAAGCCACGGCUAACUACGUG